rnacentral:rRNA from 1 species
GAUGAACGCUGGCGGCGUGCCUAAUACAUGCCAGUCGAGCGAACGGACGAGAAGCUUGCUUCUCUGAUGUUAGCGGCGGACGGGUGAGUAAUACGUGGAUAACCUACCUAUAAGACUGGGAUAACUUCGGGAAACCGGAGCUAAUACAGGAUAAUAUUUUGAACAGCAUGAUUCAAAAGUGAAAGACGGUCUUGCUGUCACUUAUAGAUGUAUCCGCGCUGCAUUAGCUAGUUGGUAAGGUAACGGCUUACCAAGGCAACGAUGCAUAGCCGACCUGAGAGGGUGAUCGGCCACACUGGAACUGAGACACGGUCCAGACUCCUACGGGAGGCAGCAGUAGGGAAUCUUCCGCAAUGGGCGAAAGCCUGACGGAGCAACGCCGCGUGAGUGAUGAAGGUCUUCGGAUCGUAAAACUCUGUUAUUAGGGAAGAACAUAUGUAUAAGUAACUGUGCACAUCUUGACGUUACCUAAUCAGAAAGCCACGGCUAACUACGUG